UGCCUGAUAGUAUAAGGGUAGUACUUCAGUUUCUGGAUCUGAAUGUCUUGGUUCGAAUCCAGGUCAGGCAA